rnacentral:tRNA from 1 species
AAGAAAUAUGUCUGAUAAAAGAGUUACUUUGAUAGAGUAAAUUAUAGAGGUUGAAAUCCUCUUAUUUCUG